GUCGUUAACCUUCAAGUACCCAUGGAAUGCCUAACCGAGACACUAUUCUGGUGAGAAGCUGGGGAACUGUGCAGCAUAAGGAAUUAAGCCUCGCCUGUAGAAUGGUUAUGUUCAAGAGUAAUUAAGAAACAGUUGUGCAGAGACAAGAUGGCACAAUAGAAAGGCAUGAACUCAUCUUUUCUUACGGAAACACCAAAAUCACAACUAACUGCUGAACAACCAUCAACAACAGCACCAUCAGAAACAAAACCCUGGA
rnacentral:lncRNA from 1 species